GACGAACGCGGCGGCGUGCUUAACACAUGCAAGUCGAACGCUGAAGCCUGGCUUUUGUUGGGUGGAUGAGUGGCGAACGGAUGAGUAACACGUGAGUAACCUGCCCCCUUCUUUGGGAUAACGCCCGGAAACGGGUGCUAAUACUGGAUAUUCACUGGUCUUCGCAUGGGGGUUGGUGGAAAGGGUUUUCUGGUGGGGGAUGGGCUCGCGGCCUAUCAGCUUGUUGGUGGGGUGAUGGCCUACCAAGGCUUUGACGGGUAGCCGGCCUGAGAGGGUGACCGGUCACAUUGGGACUGAGAUACGGCCCAGACUCCUACGGGAGGCAGCAGUGAGGAAUAUUGCACAAUGGGCGCAAGCCUGAUGCAGCGACGCCGCGUGAGGGAUGGAGGCCUUCGGGUUGUGAACCUCUUUCGCUCAUGGUCAAGCCGCAACUGUGGGUUGUGUGAGGUAGUGG
rnacentral:rRNA from 1 species